UACGUAGGUGGCAAGCGUUGUCCGGAUUUAUUGGGCGUAAAGCGCGCGCAGGCGGUUUUUUAAGUCUGAUGUGAAAUCUUGCGGCUCAACCGCAAGCGGUCAUUGGAAACUGGGGGACUUGAGUACAGAAGAGGAAAGCGGAAUUCCACGUGUAGCGGUGAAAUGCGUAGAGAUGUGGAGGAACACCAGUGGCGAAGGCGGCUUUCUGGUCUGUAACUGACGCUGAGGCGCGAAAGCGUGGGGAGCAAACAGG
rnacentral:rRNA from 1 species